AGACAGACAGAGCGUGAGCAGGGGGAGGGGGAGGGGCAGAGAGAGAGGGAGACACAGAAUCUGAAGCAGGCUCCAGACUCCCAGCUGUCAGCACAGAGCCCUGACGUGGCGCUUGAAUUCACGAAAGAUGAGAUCAUGACCUGAGCCAAAGUCGGAUGCUUAACCGACUGAGCCACAGGCACCCCGCUACAAGACUUGUCUUAACUUCAUGUUGCUUCUGCAUAAAGAACGCCCAGUGAUGCUUGCCUACCAUCAAGUUUCAACAGCACGACAAUCAGGUAGCUUCCCAGUGAGUUUCAACAGAAUUCUUGUGACUUCGCAUUUAAUUCUGCCAGCAUCCUUGUGAGCAGUUUCCUGGAAUCUCAGUGGUUUUCUGGAGAGUUUGUCAGCACUCCAACUCAGCAGUCCAGCCCACAGUUUCCUGCACUCCAGUCUCAAUGCGCAGCAAUUCAUCAAACUUCAUCAUCCAGUGAUAUCAUCUGUCAUACACUCUUCCAUAAAGUCCAAUUAUUAGUCUUGGAGGAAAGGGGCCUCUUCCAAAUUCAUUCCUUCCUUGAGCACAUUGCCUCAACCUUAGAAGCCGUGGCUGCUCCCUAUAUCUGCUACUGUAUUGUUUUAGAGUUCUUUUUACCCCUUAGUAGUUAAUCCCAUUACUAGUUAAUAAUUCUUUAUAUUAAAUUUUCCCUGUUUAA